GGUUACCCAGCCAUAUCGAGGAGAUGUUCCGGAGGAUAUGACUGAUCUUAUGUUGGCAGGAAUUACAGGAGCGACACCAAGCACCAAGGAGCGAUUGGUGUAUGCAGCAUCCAACAACAGCUGCGGGGUGUUUUAUGUGCAGUACGCUUACGGUAUGACACGGGAGAAUGGGUGGUUUGACCUCCGUGUGAGAAACUCUUCGGUAUCAAGCAUACCUUCAAUUUGCAAAGAAUACCUUGAAAGCUUUAAACAGCCGCUGUUUCCCAUCUACAACGACACCUGCCAAAGUUUGUAAUAAAUAUCGGCAAAUCCAAGCCAC